GAUCAGCGUGUGCUCUCCUUGGCCGACAGGUCCGGGAAACCCGUGAACCCCGGGGUCGUGCUAGGGAUAGGGAAUUGCAAUUAUUUCCCUUGAACGAGGAAUUCCCAGUAAGCGCGAGUCAUUAGCUCGCGUUGAUUACGUCCCUGCCCUUUGUACACACCGCCCGUCGCUACUACCGAUUGAAUGGUUUAGUGAGGUCCUCCGAUUGGACCCGGUCCGGGCGGCGACGUCCGAGCCGGCGUCCGAGAAGACGAUCUAACUUGAUCAUUUAGAGGAAGUAAAAGUCGUAACAAGGUUUCCGUAGGUGAACCUGCGGAAGGAUCAUUA
rnacentral:ncRNA from 1 species